rnacentral:rRNA from 1 species
UACGGAGGGGGCAAGCGUUAUUCGGAAUUAUUGGGCGUAAAGGGCGCGUAGGCGGCUAGAUGUGUCAAAGGUGAAAUCCCUCGGCUCAACUGAGGAACUGCCUUUGAAACUGUCUGGCUUGAGGCCGGGAGAGGGUAGCGGAAUUCCCAGUGUAGCGGUGAAAUGCGUAGAUAUUGGGAGGAACACGAGUGGCGAAGGCGGCUACCUGGACCGGUUCUGACGCUGAGGCGCGAAAGCGUGGGUAGCAAACAGG